rnacentral:rRNA from 1 species
UACGUAGGGGGCAAGCGUUGUCCGGAUUUAUUGGGCGUAAAGAGCUCGUAGGCGGUUUGGUAAGUCUGGUGUGAAAUCUCCACGCUCAACGUGGAGGGGCCACCCGAUACUGCCAUGACUGGAGUCCGGUAGAGGAGUGUGGAAUUCCCGGUGUAGCGGUGAAAUGCGCAGAUAUCGGGAGGAACACCCGUAGCGAAGGCGGCACUCUGGGUCUUACCUGACGCUGAGGCGCGAAAGCUAGGGGAGCAAACAGG